UCAAAUUAAUUGGCUAACAUAAAAAUUAAUUUAAAAUAUACAAAAUGGUAAGCUUUUUUAGAAUAGUUUGCAAGAGCAUAAAUAUAAACACAAGUCUAUAAAAGUGGACUGUUGAGUAGUUUAUUGUCUCUGACAACCUAAAAACAUAAAAGCUUAAAUUAAUUGUAAACAAUGCUUAUUUGCCAUUUAGGAGACUGUUGACAAGCAAGGUCUGGUGUGGAUGUUGAAGGAAGCACUUAAUAAGCUGAAGGACACAGCAGUCAGCUAUACCAACAAAGCAGCUCUGUCUGACGACUCACCUGUGGUUAACAGGCAGGUAAAAGAGGCAGAUAGUGAGGCGGGAGUCAGUACAGAAGCUGCAGAAGCAGUAAGAUCCACCAUGGAACGUGUUCUGGCUGCAUGGGAGUCCUACAGAGACUGCCUGUAUCUAUUACAGGUCUGGCUGGGGCAGGAGAAACAAUCAGAGGCUCAAGAGGUACUAUUAAGUAUUUGUCAUUAAAACACAUGCUACAAAGUAUACAGUGACCCAAAAAGUGUUUGAACACCUAAGUAUGAAUGUCAUUUAGUUAUCUUUGUUGAGAUGUUUGGUAAUUUCAAGUCAUGAGGUGAGGGCACGAUGUUUGUAUGUGGUUGCUUUUUUUAGAAGUUAAUUUGUCAGUUGUCUUGUGAUCUCUUUCAUAAUACAGCACAAGCAUUUUUCCUCCAGCCUGAAUGAGUGGAGAUCACGUCAAGCCCAGCUGAACGAGGCGGGAAACUUUCUCAUUGAGAUGAGUGAGGCCUCCACCAGCCACUCUCUGACCGAAGAGCUCCGCAAACUGAACAUGCAGUGGGCUGACUUCAUAAAAAGGACCAAGUUUGUGAGUUUGUAGAGACAGAACACUAGUUUUCAGCAGGGUUCAAAAUUAACACUUACCACCAAUUGCAUUAUAUAUUAUUUGAGUAUGAGAACAAAAUAUGUUUGUAUUGGCAACAGAAAACAUGAUGUAGGUGUUUCUCACAAAAUAUUCAAGGAAAAAGCUAAAUAUAUCCCAUUGUUAAAGACCGAAAUAAUGUAAAAUAAAGUUUCAUAACUGAUAAGAAAUAUUUAUGGC
ensembl:lncRNA